UUAGUAGAUCUACGAAUUAUUAUGUUGUGUUUAGUUGUGUGGCUGGUCCAUGUGUCCUAUUGGAUGUACUCUCAUGUAUCAAAACUUGCUUGUAGUGCUGGAAUGAAGAAUAAUAAAAAUCUGCUCUGUUUUAGUUCAUUCUCUUUCCCUGUCCAAUUUAUAUAAAUAUUUUUGACAAAUUUUUCGUUAACAUGUACCCAGACUUCUUCCUUCCACAGCCCACUGUUCAUGUUAACAGAUCGAUGAGAAGACAAAAUUGUAGUUUAAUAAAAUUGAAUUGAAUGAAAUGAUAACUCAAACAUCGGUCCAUUGCAAUAUUGCAGUACAAAUUACAUUCCUAUCUCAAUAGCCAUAUCUAUAUAUCUUCAAACUCUAUAGUUCCGAACAAAAAGAAGAAUGAUGCUCUAUAAGUUCAUCUUAAUCCACACACAAUGACUUGGAACACCCUCAUGUACCACAAACAACAUAUACAGGAGGUGCAACAUUACGCGUUGGAGGAGCAAACACAGUAGCCUUAUAAGCAACACCCGACAACUGUUGCACAUCCGAAGAAUCCAACACUAACAUCCUCUGAUUCAUAGCAAAAGAAUGCGUGGUAAAUGAAGGUGCAAUCAUCACUACAUUGAUUACUCCAUUUUUAACAUCCGAUCCUAACGAAAACAUAACCGAAAAUUGCUGACCAUAAUCUGAAGGAUACUCAAUCGAAAUAAUCGAAGGCUGCAAAUGCCUUAAAUCUGGUGCAAGAUAAGGUGGUGAAAAUGCCUCUAAGCUCAACUCAGUAAGAUACUUAACAUUACUAAAAUCAUACUGUAAAUGAGGAUUACUACCACCCACCAAUAUUCUGCCAUCUGGCAACAAUGUAGCAGCUGAAUGGUACAUUCUUGGAAUUGUAGUAGGGUUCAUCACAGUGAAUCUUUUUUUCGGGUCAUCCGCUCUCUCCCACCCGGCUGUUCCUCGACCCGCUCCAUUUAAAAUAACCACAUCACCAGUCGGAACCAACAACAUAUCCGGCAUAACCCGACCCAUGGGCAUUUCCUCCAUGACCCAUUUAGGAUCCGGAUCCGAAACUUUUAACCGCCCACAAGAAUUUGAAGCUGCCACGUAAUCAUUAACCCUAGCUUUCAAGUAGGCCCCACCAUAGAACCCCCCACAAAUCAUUACCUCAGCAUCAGGCAAAACCUCACCAGAAACCAACUUAAAAGGCAACAAAACAGAUGAUCCGGUAGCCGGAUACGAUCUUUUCGCAUCCGGGAUCACCGGGUACUUAAGGAGUACCCGUUGAUUCGAAUAAUCGAAUAAAAUCGAACGUUGGUUUGCGAAAAUAAAAAGAUUACCGUCCGGUAAAACAUGCAAGAAUGGAUAAAGAUUGUUCUCUUCUUUAGCAUCACUAGUUUCUUGCAAGAACUCAAGAUUAAACACAUUAUUUAACGUACCAUCUUCUUGAUUUUUCGGAAAAAACUCGUAACUAAAAGCCCUUCUGCCACCGACAAUUAUUAUCCUACCAUCAGAUAAAAUUUGAUUAGAUGCAUACCAUCUUUGAACAGUUAAGUUCCUUUCAAGUUCAAUCCAAUCACAUUUUUCAUCGCUGCAUGGCGUAAAUGACCGGAUUCUUUUACUUCCGGCGAGAUAUCCACCGGUUUGAAGUAGGGUUCCGUCAGGUAAGACAGCUGCUGAUGAACACCAGAAGUCAGUUUGUACUAUAAGUGGCCUAAAUGUGUUCAAUGCCACGUCAUAUGAGACCGAAUGAGCGGUGCAAUCGGUGACAUUACGUUCGUUGUUGAAUCGACAUUUAGUAUCGGAUACCACAUUAUUUCUCUGGUUUAGUUUUGUAAUAAUGUGGUAUCCACUACAACAUUCGGGUAAUGAAGCAUAAUCUAUUGGGUCAACAACUGCUGGAUCUACUACUGGACCUGGAGCUGCUCCCGUGUCUUUAACUGCUGCUCGUCCUGCUUCAUUAACAGCAUAAUCAUAGUCAGAAUAAAGUCUACGUACUGGAACAGGAUCAACAGCUUUAGGCUCUUCUGCUCCUGUUGCUAGCUUACGAACUAUUAGCCAUGGAACUUGCUAUUGGUGAUCAUGGGGCAGCAGGUUCUACGCUAGGCACUAUAUCUCCAUCUGGCUCUUCCUUUCUAUCACGAUAAUCAGACUCUCGAUCGUAGGCAUUAGUCACCACCUAUUAUUAAUGUAAGGAACCCCACCCAGGAAAAACGACCACUACAUGGUGAAGUCUGUUCCUACGCCUACUCCCGCCCAAAGGAUCUCCAGUAACAGUAACUUGUUUCCGGGUAACAGAGCCAACAGGUUAGGUUCCGGUCUUUCUGAAAGAAAGCUACUCACUUAUAAACUAUUAGAGUUUUCUUCCUUUAGCUGACUUAUCAGAGAUCGAGAGAAUUGCCAUAAAGUGAAGACAGAAACCACGCAAAGGUGUACUAGUACCAAAAGUGAGUAGACAAGAAGGCUGUCAUUGGGGGACCCUGCUUUGAGACUCUAUUACCUAUAAGAUAUGAGGAAGUUCAUGGAAAAAGAAAGCAUAGUCCUUAGGUACAGGAUCAGAGGAGUAAAAGAGGAGAUGCCCUACCGGGAAGGUGGCGGGCUAGAAUUAUCAUAUAGAAAGCUAAGCUAUGUCAUUCACCGGAUCAAAAGAUGGGCCUAUUCGACGCUUGAACUCUCGUUGAUGAUGAAUGUGGUGAUUCUAAGCCUUCUAGUUAGUGGAGUCUGUUACACCAGAUUGACUAAUCAUUACAUGAUAUAUAGACGGACUAGGGACGACCUUUAACUAAACAAGAAGAAGAGGGAAUGCUAUUGGCUCGCCCUAAACAACCCACGGAGCGGUAAGGAAAAGAUAGGAUGCCAGUGACUACUACGGAACGAGUUGGUGGAGUGUAAUUUACUUUACUUUAGCCUUUGGUGGAAAGUCACUCGACUGACGUUCAAGCUUCAUUGCUACGGCUUUUGUUGAUGCAUAUAAAAGAGUGAUUACCUGGUCGAGUAUCUUGCCAUACCCCCGAAAGACUAACUAGCUACAGCUACUGCAUAUAUCGCUCGUAUACCUUCCCGGGCGGCUCACUUGCUUAGAGCUUCCAGGCAUAGCUCAGAUUUUGAAAAGUGAUUUGCUGAAGCUUAUCUACAGCGGGCAUAUAUCGUAGAAUCAUGAAUAUCCGUAAUAGGAGAGAAUACGUCUUCCGGUUCGCUUCCCAUCGGACCCUAUACAGUCGAGCGGCUUAUUAGCCCCACCAAGAUAAAUGCAGUACUCGGUCUACUCAUCGUUCCCAUACAUAUUGCAACUCUCAGAAUCUUUUCGUUUAGUAAAGUGUGAAAACCGGAGGUAGUCAAAUCGACCGGGAACUCCAUUCUAUUCCAAGACGCUUUAACGCCUAUCGUUCGUAUCCCUCUCCUUACAGUCGAGUGGCUUUGCCCCCUUCCCAAGGUAUACUUACUCGCUUUCUGGUAUAGCACAUAGACGAAAGAAGUGAUUCUUAAAAGACAUAUAUCGUUCCCCGACUCGCAACAUUGCUCAAUCAUAGAGAGGCAAGAAGGUUAGGUUAAUGGCGGCAUACAGGUCAGUAGUCGAUCCAGGCCUGAAGUCGGAACAUUAGCUUAUGAAAGAGGGUUGCUAAAGAAGAAGCUUUGCCCUAUUCUGUUUUAAGCGAGUGUACCAUCUCCCGAAUCAGCUCAAUCACCUACGAAGAAAGGAGCCCGUUCCUCGACUAUGAGAUGUAAUGCAUCUCGACCAACGUUUCGACCAUAAAGCAAGCAUACGAGCGAGGAUACUCCUGCUAUUGGGGAAUAAGCAGCUCUUCCCGAAGAUGUAUUACCAGGAAUUCUGAGCGAAUCAGCUCUCCCGAAAGAUAUGUUGAUGAAGAGUGAGAAAGCUCUAUCAAAGGUAUAAGAGUGGACUUCUAACUAGUAGCUAGUAUGAGGUAAACGACUGAACGAUUGGUAAUUGAGUUCAGGACUGGUAAUUGAAUCAUAGACUAAGCAUUGUGAAGAGCUCAACUUAUUCUAAUGAAUGCAAUGAUUCUGGGCAAUUUCCGAACUCUAAUGAGGAACGGAGAAUCGCCCAUUAAAGCUGUGGAAGUAGGGAUUUAAGCAUUCAUUAAAGCAAAGUAAACGAUACACGUUGAUUGCGCGGAUAAGCCUUCUUUCCUUCUAACGAAGGCAAGCCGUUAGUCAAGAGGUUAGUUACCAGUUCUUCGUUCAUAGGUACUCCCGGAGGUAGGGAAGGAACAGAUUCGAUACUAAAGAGCAAUAGGGCACUCCUAAGCGAAGAAGGCAGUGAGCUCGGUUCAGGAACUUGCCUGCAUGAAUGAAUCUUUCGAGAAAGCACGGUGCUUUGUAAACCGUCUAACAAGUGUCUUGUGAAGUUAGCGACUAGAGUUUCGUUUUCGGGAUUGGAUUACUUCCCUGCGUUAGAGGGAGUUAUGAGUGAGUAGCUACUAUGGUAAAAGCCCCAUAUGCUAUCAGAUUAUUGCAGGAAAGUAGAAUAGGUAUAUAUGUGGAUUUAAAAUUUGGAGUUCCUCUUUCAAGACAAGACAGAGUGCAGUUAGCGACUCAGUCCACAGAUUCGGCUUAGUAACAGAUUAACAGAGUCGGGUUAGCAGUCCUCGCUCCACAGAUUCGGCUUAGUUCAAAUAUCCCUAGUUUGAUAGCGGAGUUAAGUGGAGAAGUAACUAGGAGAAUCAAGACAAGCAAUCCAAUCAGGAACAAGGUAGUUAGGGUCUAAUGCCAUCAUUUAGUGGUAUAAACCUAUAGACAGGAAGAGCUUCCUAUUCAGUUUCGGGUUAUUUGCCUCUGGAACUAAAGUCAUAGGAUGCUAGCUAGAUUGAUCUGACCAACUCUCAUGGCUUUAGGAGGGGGCGGGCUCUGAAAGAGUCCUCCGACCGGUUCCGACAGUCUUUUCUUCACCUUCUCGGCAUGAUCCAGGCGUUCAAGCUAGCAGAUCAAAUCAUGGGUUCUCAUCCCGGAGAGGCAAGUGAGUCGGUUGGUUGAAAUGCGGUUAUGGCGGGCAGCCGUUGCUAUUGUAGUUAUUGUAGCCGAUGAGCGAACUGUAGCGUCGGAGCUAAAGAUGCUGUUGUUCCCGCUGUUAGGAGCUAAUUAGUUAGAGUAGCUUCGCUAAGAGCCUUUCUUCAAGCUAUGGACCCCGUAGUGUAGGACACUAAGCAAGUUGACUCCGUAACCUCUAUGCAUCGGGUCUAUUUAGAUCUCUGGGUACUAUGGAUAGGCUAACAUUUGAUCUAAGCCGCAAAGAGCUAAAGAUAGCUGCAUUGGAACGAAAUUAGCUAGCCUCUAGGAAGACUAGUACAUUUCUUUUUUUUGUUAUCCUAUUGCUACUAUACCGUAUAGUUAAUGAUAGUUAAUGUCGGUGAAUCGGGGAUAAUCGUCUUAAGACUGGGAAUUUACAAUAACAAUAAUAGGUCCUUUAGUAAAAGCUCAAUCCCAACUCUCUUAUCUGGUGCAGAACCUGCCCUAGAGCUAUUGCCAGAUUGAAUCUCAAAUCGAGCUGCAGUUCUUCUUUCCUUUCAAACCUAGCUAGGGUUGAUUUCGCUCUAUCAAUUCCGUCACUCUUAUCUACGAUAGCAGCAAACUCCACUUCUGAAACAAGAGAAAAGAUCAUAUCGGCAACAGCAAGUCAAGUCUGAAAUGCCUCAGAAGCAAGUCUCGGCUUAGCUGCAUUAUCUUCCUACCGAUAUCAUACUAGACUCUAUUAUGACCUGAGGGUGACUGAACUACCUUAAGCCCCGAAGUAAAUUAUCCUUUCUUCCCUCUCGACAGGGAACUUAGCUAGAGGAAUUCAUUUUCUCGUACUUGAACUGCUGUAGACAAGAAGUAAAAGCCCUGGGGAAAGCGUAGCGCUUAUCGUUUAACAGGUACGUAGCCUCUUUCGAGAGGCGAAGAAUAGCUAUCUUUCAGAAAGAAGAAGAGCAGCAAACCUUUUUAGUACUACCAGACUCGAGGCGAAGAGGGAUUUACCAUAAAUAAUAAAUAGGAGGGUUAAAGCACUUGCUUCGUCCUUAGCCCGGAACUCGUUCCUAGCGUAGACUGAACUUCUUCUUUCUAAAGCGCAAAAGCUAAAGCGAUACAUAGAGCUCUUUUAUUAUAGGCGAGGAGUCUGCUUCCUAAAUCCCAUUUUUGAGGACAGGUAUCACGCUCUAUACGAUUGUCAGCUAAGUAAAUAGAUGGGGCAGAUGAAGAAAGAAAGAAAGCUCCUAGGUGGUUUUUUUGGUAUAUCUUAUGCAAUCGAUUGAUUCUAUCAGGUCCAUUCUUUGGUAGUGCAUAGGCUCCGGCUUCUUCCUCUAGCCGAGCCACUCCUUGCGUGUGUGUAAUUAAUGGCAGUUUUUUUAUUAUUGAGCUAUUCUCUUUCUUGGAUUUUAUUAUAGUAGAGAGCGGUAAGUUAGUGUUGCUCUAAGAAAGUGGUAGCUGUUCCAGUACACAAACAAGGUGGAUUGGGGUUUAGUAGGUAUUUUGCGCGCAUGCUUGGUGCUUUUAAUAGAGAAAGGGCUUGGCAUUUCACUCUUUGUUGUGGGGUUGUCACGGAUUGGCCGGCCAUACUGAUAGAGAAGUCCAAGGAGCCUUUUAUUUGUGGAGGUUUCACAUCACAUUAAUCAUUCCAUUCCUUCCGGAUAACCUAAAAGGUGCAGGCCCACUUAAGAGAGGGGCCUUUCUUAAAAUUCUUAAAAAGAGGGUUCUAUUCCGAUGUAUACGAUGGGAUAUAUAAUAAGAAGAAAACAGGUUCUUCUCUUAAGCCUACUUUGUUUUAUUGAUCUUGCCACGGUAGGUAGGUCUGUCUUUCUCUGGAUCCCGCUGAGCUGAAAGACAUGAGACAUACAUAAAAAAGAGUUUCAAUCCAGACCGGGCUCUCGAAAGCCCAUGUGACCGGAGGUGGGAAGAUAUGGGCUGGAAAAGCGUGUUAAUAAUCACCGCAGGCCCUUAUGCCCCGAGUGCUCAGCUUUGCCCCAGAAAUGGAACUAACUGGAGGGGCGGUUUGCUCGCUUAGUAGUCUUAUUGAGCUCGAGUUCCUCUUCCUGUGAUUAAGGGAGAACUUCAUUAAAACAAAACUGAACAAGACAGCCAAUCCCGAAAUCCGCUUAUGGCAAGAAAGCUCGAAGGGGGAAUCCCUUAAUAGAGUAUCCCUGUUCGAGUUCGUAUUCUUUUAAUAUAUUCUCUUUCGACCUAUAGUAAAUCUUUCAACUAUAAAAAGAGUACGCUUUUGCCGGAGUUUUCUGGGUAAAAGAUCUUUUACUAUGCGGAAGACCGGGUAUCGUGUAGACUCUACUCUUCCUAGUGCUGCUAAACGCUUAAAUCGUCAUAUUGGUACGAUCGGCCCCUCGAAUGCUAUUGGAAGUGAUUCUAUUCAACCAUGACUGAGUAAGAACUAAAUUACCGUGCGCUUAUCCAUUUGUAUCCUAUUGCAUUUAAUUAAAUUCAUUAACAAGUGAGUGUGACACCAAGAAGUGACAAGCGAAUAGUGGACUUCUUUAGACAAGAUAGUGAAGAUGGCUUCAAGAGAAAGAGAAAGACGCCCGAUGCUACGAUAGAUGGAACAGAUGCUAUGGCAUCCUCGAGUGAAGAAGACAUGGGUAAUAAGGGAGAAAGCGCCAAGACUGAGGGGGAGACGUCAAUAGAGAGGGAGAAUAAUGAUAUAUCAAUGAAUGCGGAUUCUGAGAAUGCGGAUACGGCGUCAACCGAGGACAUUGCUAUGCAGACACCUAAACUGUCUAAGAUCGAGGGCGACGCCGCUCUACCUUCGUCUGAGAAAGCCCCAGCCACUAAGAGAACUCAAAAGUAAAAAAAGAGUUCAACAGCUAAGGAUAAGGCCACAAAGAGAGAGAAGAGUCCCACAACUAAGAAUAAGAAAGAGAUAGAGAAUAAUGAGAGUGAACCCGCUCUUGGGCUAUUCCAUUCGGAGAAGGUUCCUGAGGAUAUAAAGUGGCCGGCUCAUCACAUGGAUGACAUGUUGCAUAGACGUUAUUCCUAUGGUUCCGGAAUCAAGAUAUUGGUUUUCAUGGACAAGGUGUUCAAGGCUCUAAAGAGGAAAAAGAAUAAGUUCUGGAAUGAUGAUUAAAAUGUGGGAAAGACUGACUCCCAAUAAGUCUUUGAAAUGCUUCUGAAAAUAGGUAUGAAUAAGGAUGCUUUCACUGAUCCAAAUCUGCUGUUCUGCCUACAAAAAGAGAUAGAGGAAAAAAGCGAUCAUAUUAUGACCUCACUUAAUUCUGAGCUUGUUCAAGCCUGCCCAGUAUCUAAUGUACCCCCGCAAAAGCAGCUUCGCCCGCCCGCUUCUCUUUUCCUGUUCACGAAUCCCAUGCAGGUUCUCGGGAAGACGACGGUGCGAUUUCAUCUGUUGGAGGCGUAACUGCAGCAGUUAGCUCUACUCUAAAGGUAGUUCCGUUCUCCUCGGAUGAGAAUCGGUAGCUGUUAGAAUAGUAGUAGCGGUGUGACUGUGACUUUCUUCUUGAAAAGACUGCUUGACUUGGCUAGAAAGGUAGUGAGUGCAUUGAUGCAGAGAAGUUGGAAUAUAGUCAGUGUGCCACGAGUGACUCCUUUUGUUGUCGAUUGAUUUGACUCUGUCUCCUCCCACUCCCAGGAAGGAUCAGAUACAGAUUCUCUCGUCCUGGUGGUUUGGGCAUAGAUCGGAUUUUCCUUCUACGACGGCUAGUGAAAUCAUAAAGAGUGCGCUCCCCUUUCCCCUUGGGCAUGAAGCCAUUGGAUCAGGGCAUCCAAUCACAGGCGAAAGGUAUUCAUUCGGAGUUCUUCCCCGGCAAAGCAAAGUGGUUUCUAAAACUUCAACAAGCUCGGCAGGGAACUUUCCGGGAGCAGGGCUUACAAAGGGAACUCCAAUUGGAAUUCAAAGUAACUUGGCCUAUUGAUCUUGACCAGCCUCGACUGGUUCCACAGCAAAUGUAACUUGCCUGUAAACUAUUCCCUCGGCUGGCACGACAUUGAGAAGAGAAAAAAAUCUUCACUGGUUUUAUAAAAUGGAGUCCAGUCCUGGAAAUGGUUCGCACAAGGAAUAAAAAGAAAAGGGGGGUCUCACACCGGUGUAAAGUAAAAGCAAUUUACUUAUACUCAGAGAUUGCAUUUGCUGGCCUUUAACUGGCUUUACAAAACAGGCUUUUAUCACAGCCUUGAUCCACAGGAUGGGAAAAGUACCGGCCCGGACUAAGCCCCUGUUGUCAUGGUAGCCUUUAGAGUUAGAGUAGUUGCUUGCCCAAAGCCGUUAUGCUUUCAUACUGGUCACCUAACUCAUGUUUAGGCACUCCCCCUACUAAUAGGAAUGUGACUGUCCUCUAUCCCUAGUUGUAACUGACCUUUCCCGAGAAGAAGAGGAUACUAAGGGAUAUAGCUAGUAAAUGGAACUCCAACUCCCUCGCUCCUAACUCAACUAUGCCCAGAUAAUCUACUAAAGAACUUCAUUCGUUGGCCGAAGCCGGCUCACUUCAUUCUGAAACUCCUCUUUCUAUACUUAAUCAGAAGAACUAGAACUCUUUUCUUUACACUUUGUCCUAGAAGCCCGGGACUAGCAACCAAUAGGAGAAGAGGACCCUAGCAACAAUAGCAAGAGCAGCAAGAGCAGCCCUGCCUGCGAGUAGAAGAACAAGGAUACUAGCAUCCGUAGAAGGAGCAGGGUACAUUUCCAAGAGGGCCCUAAGAUAAGAGGGGGCAAAGCCACUCAAACGAAUGUGAGAGGGGUCAGAAGUAGCGACAAGUUAAUCAAAAGCAGCAAGCUUGUUCCGUAUACUUUCGUGAAUAAGGCUAAAAUGAAAGGAAUGUCGGUACGGAUUAAAGCAAGAAUCCCGAUGACAAGUCUCUGCCUGCAGACUAACACUCUGGAGGCGGACUGUGCAGCUGUACAGUCCGCCUCUUCAAUGGUGUAGAGAGGCACAACAAAACCAUUCUUGUCAAUCACAAGUAGAGUGCACCUGAUGCUUGUGAGUGACACAGAUAAGUGCACGUCCAAUUAAGAAUUAAUAAUUUGUUAGAAUUCAUUAUUUAAAAGAAGCCUUGCCCUCUAGUUGAUAAGGCGAUCUCUCUCUAAAAUGAGUUUGGCAAAUCGACCGAAAAAUAGAAUGAAUGAUCACAGUGUCUUAGCACCUUUUCUUUACUCGGGAAGAGGGCGAGUAGUUAAUAUCUUAAAUAAGUGUGUUUCUAACGAAUGCUAAACCGGCCUGGCGUUGCUUGAUUUGAUUAAUAGGAAAGAGGGGAGUUGGAAGAAUCAGUUUUUAUGAAGUAUGAGGACCAAAAAAAGAGCUCAAACCUCUGUACGCAGAUUUAUUUGGAUCCGAUUACUUAAUGCUGAACGACAGGCCUUAGACUCACAAGACCUUUUAACCCGAGUCAGGGCUGCUUUUGCAUGUAAUACCGUUGUCGUAACGAAGGAAAAUUCGGAAUUUCUGGAUGAAGAAUUGAGUUUCCUUCUUUGUUUUGUCUUUUGCCGUCAAUUUAAGAUAGUCAUAGUUCGUGUGCCGCGCGCGGGAAUAUUCAUUAUAUUUAGAGUAAGGCCCCGCUGCUUUUGAUGGAAUGAAAAAAUGUCAAGUAAACUCUAUUGCAUUCUUUUCUUUCCUCGGGCUAUCACAUCUGGAAUCCAAUUCUGUUAAAAUUGGAAUAUCUUAUAAUAUAUAUAUUAGUUCUGUAAUGUAGACAUCGCUUACUUCAUUCCAAGUUUGAUAGGCCUGGAAUCACAACAUGGUCCUAACUAGGGCUUCAAGCUCUUUCUUUCAUGGGAAGUCGUUCACCCCUGAAUAAAUGAUGUAGAUAAACUUCCUUCUUCUCGUUUGACUUCGACUCUCUCUUGCCCGCGGUGCUGCAGUCAUAUUUUUCGAGUUAAGGAACGAAUUAAAAAAGCAUGAUGAAAUUGAUAGAAUCCGUUUUUGUUCAGCUGACAUGGUACUCUUCUUUCUGUCUUUUCUCGCUGGUCGAACCUAUUUCAAUUCCUCUUCUUUCAGUCGAUCGGUCAAUAAGGUCUUCAUUCAAGUUUUUUCUUAUGUAGUGGAAACGCCUUACAAUCCGGUGGGGUUUCGGUUCGUUAGCUGGUAUUUGCGCAGCUCGUAGUUCCACUUUUUCUUACUCUAGUUGAGUAGGACAUCACUCUUUUCUUUAGUAGAGUAGACAAGUGCGUUUGCUUCCUCUUUCUUUGGUCGAGCCUCACUUCUCUAAUUCGGUAUAACGAGAAGGAGUUUACUAAGGUCAGCUCAAGAAGGAGCUACUUUUGUCAGUGCAAUAGGGGGCACUUACUAAGGUCAAUGCACAGUUAGAUUUGUGGAACUAAUUAUGCCUUUCUUACACGGAUGAGACUGAUCACGGAGGACAGCACGAAUUGAAUUACUCUAUAUUACAGAUAUAUAUAUAGUAAUUAGUGUGUAGUGAGGUUUAUUAUCUUAUCUAGGUAAGUAGUCUUUACUUAACUCAACUGAAACAAUGCCCAACAACUCCCAUGCCUUUCUUGGCCCAACCGGCUGGCUCUUUUCGACAAGCCUUUCUUCAUAGAGGAGUAAGCAGAAACUUUACAGAUAAUAAAGACAAUGGCUCUACUUUUUAAGGAACUGGAGAAGGGGGAACUUCUCAGCCUUGUUCAAUACCUUCUCUUUUGUAUAUCAGUCUUACUCGUAGUUAUUAUAUUCUGACUUUUCUGGGGUGUGUAUAUUUGCUAUAAGCUUUUACGCCAGAAUAGAGUCGCGAGGGAGAUUAUAGAUCAGCAUCACUUUGAAUUCAUUUUAGGGGAGAUAAAACAGGGGGGUCGGCUACCGUUCGUAGAGGUCAGCGCCGACCGCAGAAAAGUCGGGCCUUCGGAGGUACUUCCUCUGAAGAAUACUAAAACGGGCGUGCCCGAGAAAGAGCCGUAAAGGCGCUUGAAACAGCAGCUCCCCUGCCUGCCCAGUUCCAUCUUUCCGUUGGUCAACAACCAAAAAAGUUAUCUAUACUUCUUCACUACUCGUACAGGAAGGACUCUCUUUCUGUCUGGAGGGAAUACUUUGUUCGAAAGAAAGAUGCCUCAACUGGAUAAAUUCACUUAUUUCACACAAUUCUUCUGGUCAUGCCUUUUCCUCUUUACUUUCUAUAUUGCCAUAUGCAAUGAUGGAGAUGGACUACUUGGGAUCAGCAGAAUUCUAAAACUGCGGAACCAACUUCUUUCACACCAGGAGAACAACAUCCGGAGCAAGGACCCCAACAGUUUGGAAGAUAUCUUGAGAAAAGGUUUUAGCACCGGUGUAUCCUAUAUGUACUCCAGUUUAUUCGAAGUAUCCCAAUGGUGUAACGCCGUCGACUUAUUGGGAAAAAGGAGGAGGAUCCCUUUGAUCUCUUGUUUCGGAGAAAUAAGUGGCUCACGAGGAAUGGAAAGAAACAUAUUCUAUUUGAUCUCGAAGUCCUCAUAUAGCACUUCUUCCAAUCCUGGAUGGGGGAUCACUUGUAGGAAUGACAUAACGCUAAUCCAUGUUCCACGCGGCCAAAGAAGCUUCGAUAACUUAUAUACCCCUAUGUCCUACUUGCUCAACCCCAACUAUUGGGUCAACGAGUGGAUCACUGGAAUGGACAAAAAAGUACUGGAUGAAACCUGUUUUGAAAAAAACAGAGAGCAACCACCUAGAACUUCCAGUCAUAAGAAGAAUAACCAGAGUCCCAGACCUCCCCUUUCUGUUCUUCUCGAUCCAUUUUUUAAUUCUAAAAAUGAAAAAUAGAGUCUAUAUCGAAUAUUGCAAGCUUAUAGAUUGAUAGAACUACAAGGGUCUGAUUCUUCUGAAUAAGAUGAUAUGUAGGUAGUUCGGUGUUUCUAGCCGGAUGCGACCCCCCACGAAUACAGUAUUGUCUCAGCUGAAACGCCUCUUAGAGUAUAUAAUCUUGAGGCGAGAGGUGUAAGCGUCGCGAGAUGUUCAGCCAUCUCGUACUAAAAAAAGAAAAGCUUGUGGGGAUCGUAGUCUCUGCCAUGUCUUAGGGCUUAUGCCCAAGCACGAUGAAUAGAGGCAUUCUCUGAGUAGACGCGGUGUAAUGACAAAACAAAAGCAAAAUUGACGAAAAUGACGUGUCAUGUUAGAAGGAAUGAAAUUAAUUGGAGCCGGUGCAGCAACAAUUGCUUUAGCUGGAGCAGCAAUUGGUAUUGGAAACGUUUUUAGUUCUUUAUCUUUAAUUGAGUCUGUGACGAUAAAUCCGUCAUCGGCAAAACAACUCUUUGGCUAUGCAAUCUUAGGAGUCCCUCUCGCAUUAGCCCCCUUCUUAGUACCCCUUGAACUAAUCUCUUAUUGUUUUCGAGCAUUAAGCUUGGGAAUACGAUUAUUUGCUAAUAUGAUGGCCAGUCAUAGCCUUGUUCUCGCUUGGGACGGUAAACUCUAUAUGUUGCCGGACCUAAAUCUCCCUCCUGAGCCCGAAGCGGAGCAGAUUGAAGAACCGAAUGUGCAAGAGGAACCUGGGACGGCCCUCACGCAUCCCGUUCGAUGUAUUCUGUGAACUUAAUCGUCUAUGGGGCGCAAUUUUGAACGAGCGCGAAGAGAUUCGCUGGGCCGAGCAAGAGAUGGCACGAACCGUCGAAAAAUCGCUCAGGCCUACAAGGAGCAAAUCGAGUUUGUUCAGGAACGUAUUCGCACUCUUAAAGGCGAAGAUGACGAAUAGUAGGGUACUCGACCGGAGGUCGAUGAAAUAUAAUUUAAUAAAAGCAAGCCUUGUUAUGCUGAAUAAUGUUAAGCUAGGAACCCUCCUCAAUGCCAUUUCUUCCCGUCACAUCCGUCUUCAGGACGAUCUAGUCACAGGUUUUCACUUCUCAGUGAGUGAAAGAUUUGUCCCCGGGUCUACGUUGAAAGCUUCUAUAGUAGAACUCAUUCGAGAGGGCUUGGUAGUCUUAAGCUUAAGAAAGGCGCGAGUUUAGAAGAGCUUUCUUUGGAAAAGAAAGAAUCUUUCCCAUGUCGUUCUUGUCUUGGUUGGACAAAUCCAACUUCCCACAAGUCUUUCUUCAAAGAGCAAGAAGCGGGAGAGAAAAUGCAAAGUCUGAAUGAUACACAGCCCACUUGGGCAAUUUUGCCAUUAUUCCGCUCAUUCCUAUGAAGAUAGGGAAUUUUUACUUCUCAUUCACAAAUCCAUCUUUGUCUAUCUUGCCAACUCUCAGUUUGGUCCUAGUUCUUCUAGUUGAACUAUUUUCCCCUCUUUUUAUUUUUAUGGCGAUAAAUUCUGUGGCGGUAAAUUCCUCAUCAUGUUCUAAUAAUGGAAGUGGGAUGAAUCGACUCAAGGUACCUGAAUUCAAAGAACGGAUUCGGGGCUUUAUUGUCGAUGAAACCCAAGACUACCUCGUGUGAUUUAAAGGGGAUAUUGAAAAAAAGUUUACCGACGCUUCGCACCAUGUUCAGGCCGUACCUUUUCUUGCUCAGUUAACAGCAGGGAUCGAACAGGAUGUAGGUUUAAGCCAAAAUGAAUUAACUGUAAAGGACUUAGACAGAAUUUGGAAGACAGUGCAUGGUGAGAAUGGAUACCAUGGACGGCAAUGUGGUGUAUGACAAUCUGAGAGCCUUAAUCAAGGUGGAUAGCAAGCGUGGCCCGGGUAGGUAGCUUUUGCUAUCUUCUUUUCUGUUUGGAAAGAUAGCUUUUUUAGGGAGUAACUAACGUUUCUUCCUUCUUUUCUUCUGAAUCCUUUUCCCAUACUUUCACUAGUGAUUUCUUAGUUUGACUCACAACUGAAGAUUUUAUAGCACUCCUGCUAUGAUGAAAGUUUAAUUUAAUUUUUGAUGGCAAUUGAAAUACAAACUAUAUAAACAAUUACGAGCGCCCUUUUUGCGAUCAAGGAUGAACCAAAUUCGAUGCAUAAGGGACUCUAGGAAAUGGGUUCUUCAGCCAAGAUUACUUAGUGGAUUCGGGCCUAACUAACCGGUUUCGGGUAUGCAAUCAUGAGCGUUUCAUUCAAUUUUAGCACUUCAUCUUCUUGCGAUACUUGGAUUUUAGAUUGGUACAGUAAUAGAGUGGGCCCGGUGUGAUGAUACCUAAUAAUGCCUUUUAAAAAAAUCUCGGAAUCGCCUUCUAUCACUUCCUUCGUUGGUCGAUCGGCAAGCUUACCUUAGUGCAGCGCUCCGCGCGCUUGAGCAUUUUGUACUAGAAGUUGAACUGACUACGACCCGAGCUAGUUUAUAGAAUCCAUUCCUGCCCCGUGUGAUUAGCUGCAUAAUAGAUUAUUUCAUGCUUAAGGAUGGGGGGCCCCUACUUAUCUUAUCUGCUGGACCUGAUCGAUCAGAGCUUUAAGAUGCUUAUUCUCUUGAGGGAAUAUCUUAUAGAAGAAAUCGUUCUAGGCCAACUACUCUCAUCUCAGCGGAUCUGAUGAUUCUAGGGAAAAUAAUUGAAAUAAGGUAUUCACUUCGUUCAGUCAUUAAAUCCAGGCUAAUAAUUCCUGACUCCCCCGAUCCCUUAAACUACAAGCUUUGAAGCCCUACCAUUCUAAAAGUAAAAUAACUUUCACAAAGCGAGGGGACAUUGCUUACAACUCAAAAGGACGGGAUGUUAAUUUAGGCUAAGGCGUCUGAAAGGUCUCAGAUGCCUGGGCACAUAUCCAUGGGACAGCUUUCAUCUAAUGCCUUUGUUCGGGCCGGACUCUUGACUUGGUUGGGGCUGUAACCUUUCUCCCAAGGGCUUAAGUGAAAGAUCACUCCCAAGAUAAGGCCUAUAUGGGCUCACCGGAGGAGUCUAAGGAUCUUUUUCGUAGGGAGAAUUUCACUAUUCACUCCUCGGACAAUCCUAAGUAAGGAGCAAAUGAACUGAACCUUUCAAACUUGGCUUUCUCGCUGGCUUCCUAUGACUACCACCAAUCGGUGGCAUUCUAUCCCAUUUCUAGGUUACGUAGUAUCUCGACUGUCAAGGGUAAGAAAUUCAGAAAAGUACUAAGACUAGCAGCCGAUUCUAUAGCAGUUUCUUCUCGAACAGUAAGAGCGCAUUCAAUGUCAUCUCUUCCUAAGAGCCGAUCAUUUGCACGUGGAUUUCCUAACUAUUGAUCCUUCCUCCCUUUCGUGGAUCGUGGAUUAAGGCAGUUAAGUUAAUGCCGUAUGCUAAGAGGGAAAAUAGCGCAAUUCUUAGGGUUUUAUCAAUCAGCUCGAAAGAGGGAAGCCCCCCUCUCGUUAAGAUCUGCAGACCCGCUUUCACUCCUCGUUUUGCCUAGUUCUUGUUGCUCCUUGUCCCGAAGUAGGUAGCUACGACAAUUGCCCGUUUAACCAAAACCUAGAUGAUUCAAAACAAGCUCCCUAGGAUCGCACCUUCGGUUAGUUUAAAUCGAGAAUGGAAUGGUCUGGUAUAUAACCACUUAACACUAUUGGUGUUGGUGGAAAGUACACGAAUUUUAGCUAAUCAACCCGACCGAAAGACAAGGGUCAUGGGCGAGAUCAAGUACUAGCUUGACUGACGUACUCUUAACUCAACAACCAGACGACACAGUCUCAUUGUUGGACCUUAGUUAGACCAAAAGCGCUCGGGCCUAGUAGAUCAAGGAGAUAGAUAAAUUCCCCGCCGGUGGUUGUUGGAUAUGAAAGGCAGGGCACUCUAUUGCUAAUGCAAGAAAUUAAUCAAUCACCCUUUUUAGUAGAUAGAUUAUUCCGUAGUCCAUUCGUUGAAGAUCGGAUCUAUCUCUGUAUGUGAUGAGCUAUACCACCUCCCGGACGAAACACUUACCCGUAUCUUGUUCGUUCUGGAAACACGUCUUGGUAUUGGAUCCGCUUAAAAGGUUCUGAAAGAAAAACAUACUCGAUCCCUGGCUAGUUCCAUCUCUAGUCUCUUUCUUCUGCAUCUGGGGUCUAAUAUGACGUAACGCUUCUUUCUUCCACGUUAUAUUCUCAGGGGGGAGAGCCUACUCGCAUAUCUCCCACGGAGAUAUGUAGUAACUUGCCAUUUAAGGUGCUACUACACUCGACUAGCGGGAUCAGAUUGAAACAAGGUUACAAGGUCUCGUGAAGGAUAGGCCAAAGAAUAGCGCAUUGGAACUAGACAGCGAUCCCCAUUAGGGCAGAAACUACGGAUAUUGGCUCGUAAAACCACCGCUGGGAUGAAUAAUCAACGGGCAGACGUACUAUAUAUAGAAGUCGCGCUGAGCCAAGCCCUGAAGAAAGAGAGCGGGGUCUGUGGCAACGGCAGAGCGUGAGAAACGAGAAGCUACUAGAAGGGCUCCAGCGGAAGAUUGUAUCUAACUAAACAUAUCGACAGGCCCGCUCAAUUAGGGCUCCGGAACGGGCUAAAGUCAUACACAAACAAGUUGCCGCCUUCCUAAUAAGAGGCGAAGCGGAGAGCCAAUCAAGGAUCAAGCAAGGAUCAAGAAGAACCAGACGCGGGCAGUAGCCCUAUUGAAAUGAAAGGAUUUACCGCUAAUUCAUCAGUUUAAUGAAUUUGGAACUCUAAAUUGAAAUUACAAGAAACACUAUUAGGAAUCGGAAGAUUAAGUAGUUUCGGCCAAAGCUAGCACAUAUGGAUGGAAUUCCUGGCCUGUGGCCGGAGGUGACGCUGGGAGUUAGAGAGGCUUGUAAACAGGGGUUAGGUAAGCUCUUCCUAACGCAAGGUAGCCCAGCUAACUUUAUUAAGAAGAAAACUCACAGUAAAGGCGAGGGAAUAGACCCUCCUAUUAUUAUUAUGUAUGUGCACCCGGGCACACCUCCUCUUAACAACAAAAGAAAACCAAUUGCCCCGAACAGCUGGUUAAAGCAGGCUCUAUAGGGUGAGUUAGCUUCCAUGGCACCAAACUCUUCUCGUCAUGUUGAUCCGCGAAUGCUGGUAGAAAGGGAUCCGAUCAACUGACUCCAGACUUGCCAUAUCGACACCCUUGGUCCUGGCAGCAUGAACUAAGUAAGAGUAGGGUUUUUUUGAACAAUUACUGUACACAGGCCCAAUUCCCUGAAGAAUUCACAUGAUGUGAGCCUCAGCUUCCGGUAUCAUAGCAUGGGGUUUUCACUCCUCCCGAUGCCGAGCUAAGAGUCAAUCACACUGAGGCGGCACCUCAGAAAAAGAGUAGCCGCUUUCCCGCUAUAAUUCUAUUUUCAUUCCAACGAAUCAAUAAAACCAUCUCGGUCAAUCUGAACAAAAGACACGACCCCUAGUUUCAGCAACCAGUCUUUCUACACCAAGGUUUCAGGUCUUUCUUGAUUGGCUUACGACAAAGCCUUACCUGACCCCAGCCGCUACUUCACCCUCUUUUCAGGGAGAUCGUGAUGAGGCAAAAGGGGCCUUAUUAAAGUCCUCUGGGUCGUCCACUAAGUGAGUGAAAGAGGUCUCAUUGGGAGAAUUGGGAAGAGAGAAGGCCAGCCUCCCACUAUGUGAAAGAAGAGCUUUUUCUCUCAUAUUCACUUCUAUAGAAUAGGGAGUUCGCUUAGCCGCAGCUGAAGCCAUAGAUCUUGCCCGGGAUGCUCCCAAGGCAGGACUCCUAAUUGGAAAAAGAAUGGAGGGACUGAUUCUUGGUCCUCUGCUAUGAAUGAUUUCAUGUCUUCAAAGUGCAGGACUUGAGGACAUCAGAUAUAUGGGACACUUCGUCACAUGGUCUAAGAAAGAUGAUGAGGCCUCUUGUAUUUCCAGAAAAGUGGAUAGAGCUCUUGCUAAUUGUAAGUGCUUUGGCUCUCUGCCUUUAUCUGAAUCUGAAGUUGAAUUCACCCCCAAGGGCCUCUCUGAUCAUAGUGCCUGUGUGGUUAGAACAGGGGUGCAUAUCCUUCCUUUUUCAACUUCAUGACUGAACUCCCACUCCCCGAGUUCCACCCUAUUGUGAGUAAGGUGUGGCAAACUGAUGUCAAAGGUGAGUGGGAAAUAGAAGCGGGGGAACAUGGCGCAGCUAUAUCACACUGAGGGUUUCUGCAAAACCGAUUUCCUGUCCCCACCUUUAUCUACUAUAUCUACUAUGGGCUAGCGUUGCCAGAAAAAGAGGUUGCUAGGUGUGGUCUUGGCUCUGGACUGGAUUCAAGAAGUCAUCUCAUGGAGUCGGGCAUAAAGAGAAUGGUCUUUCAGCAAAUGCCCUAUUCCCUUUUGUGGGUGGUUUUCAAUGACGGAAGUCUUGCCGGGCUCACCUUCAACGACGAGCAGGGAAUCAUGGCGUGGCACAGGCACAUAUUGGGAGGUACCAAUGUAAAGGUCAGGGAUCUUGCCUCUAUGCCUUCGAAGAAGAGUGAUUACGACGAGUUCUUUCUCUUGUCAAGACGAGACAGGGCGGAUCAUCCGAAUGCGAUUGAGGUUUUGGAUAGAUAGGCACAAGCGGGUGAAGGAAAGAGAUCUUCUUUUGGUUAAAGUUUCUUUUUAGAAGGCAUAAGAGAGGUAAGAUCGAAGUUUUGGUUCAGUACGGUAGGCUUCCCCGCCUUCUUAGUCUUCUCCAUUUACUUUCAAAAGUAGUAGCCAUAUCUCAAGACCUAUUUCAGAGCGCUUCUUUGCUUUGCCAACGGCUUCGGAAUCGUUUUAUAGGGGAUCUUCUGCUCCUCUUCGUUCUCGCAUUCACUUCGAACCACCUGCAUUUGCCUUCUUUUGCCGGAAAUUGAGAAGGACUCCGCUCAAAUACAAAUAGUUUCCUUAAAGGAAACAACCGAAAGCAACCUGUAAGCUUUGCAAAAUGGGCCAUCCUGGACCUGAACCGAGACACCCUCAGCCUUCGGUUGCCGCCUGCGGGGGGGGGGAACUCAACGAGGGAAGGGACCAACCUGUUCCUAUUGGAAUGAAGCAUAGCUAUGCAGGCGCGGUUAAGGGAACUCAAGGCGCCACCCCUGCCCCUCCUUACUUUCUUCCUGGCGAAAAUGGCUCUCUCUCCCUCAAUCCAGCAUAUGUUCAAUGGCGUCAACUCGACACCAUGGUUCUUACUUCUUACAUGGAUCAACUCCACCAUCACCGUUGAAAUCCUUUAACACGUCUAUGAUCCUACCGGUACCACUACUGCCAAGAAAACUUGGGAUGCAAUCCACAAGCUUUAUGUCGAUCAAGCUGCUGCUCGUCAAAUACAGCUCAAGUUUUACCUUACCUCUUAAAGAAAAAAAGAAGGAUACUAAAUAUAUGCAUGAGUAUCUCACCAAAAUAAAAACUCUUCGGGAUUCUCUUUCAACUAGAGGAGCUGGCUAGAAACAAGGGUGUUAUCCUUAGUCACCUUUAUAGUCGUUGUGCGGUCGUAGUUGUUCUUUAGCUGUAUAGCGAAGCAAGGAAUUUAGCCAAAGGCGACAGGGAAGGGGGGAAUUUGAGUCGACAAAGAAGCUCACUUCUGGCUUUGCUUUCUAAGGCUAGCGGUAGCAAAGUGGUCUCCUGCAUCCAUCUAUAAAGUCGUAUUAGUUCAUUAGCCGCCCUACCCUAUUAAGUCAGUUCGAAGCAAGGAUUUCCGCUAGUAGCAGAAGGGAUUCUCAGGUGAGAAGCAUUCGUCUAGCUAAGAGUGAAGCGCUUUAGGUGGUUGUACGACACAGGUGUGGAAAGGAAAUAGACCCUCCUAAAAAAAGGGGUUAUCGGCGAGAUUCGCUUUCCUAGUCUUUUUUUACUCUAACCUUAGCCUUUGCUUAUCGACGGGUCUUGCAUUAUAUACAACAUUCUUUUCUUUUACUCAUGCCUUGGAGAAGAGCGUUCUUUGUUUGAGUUUGAGGUCGUUACCUUGCGGGAGCCACCUGGGCGAGACCUUCUCUUCUUUCAUAUUUCAAUAUGGUAUGCUGGAUCACCCGUGAAGUCGACUUCACUUGACCGUGUCUGCUUCAACUUUACCCUAGACUCGUGUCGUGUAGUGUAGCAAGACUAACAAGUGGUCGAGUGGAUUUAUGAACGAGCAACUAUUAUAAGCAAUACCUUUAUAUUUUUGGAUUCUUUCUCCACGGGCAAAUAUAGUAUACUACACUCUUUCUUGGCUAGUGUAGUAAACUAUAUUCUAGGUCAUUCGGAAGGGCCCCGUAGAGUUUUCUUUUGUGGCGUAACGUUGUGGUUGUUCCCUCGACUGACCGAGAAAAAAAGCGAAAGAGGCAUCUUCCAUUCAUAUCGAUUUGGGUUUUUCUGCACCAUAUUUUGAUCUGCCGCUUCUUCGAUCCGGAAUUCCCAGCAAAUCCUUGACUCCUCGAAUACAAUGGGAUUUCACACCUGGCGAAUCUUUCACUCUACCUCCUCUUAUUAAGACCAUAGAAUGUUCCUGCAAAUUAUGACCUUCGCCUGGAAUGUGAGCAAAUAUAUCAUGUCGAUUGCUCAACCGUACUUUGGCUAUCUUACGUGGAGCUGAAUUAGGUUUUUUUGGUGUUCUCGUUGGUACACGCGGGCGUACUCCUUGCUUCUGGGGACAUUGAUCCGAAGCUCGAGUACGGUCCGUGCGCCGUUUUUCUUCUCUACCAUGACGAAUCAAUUGAUUUAAUGUAGGCAUCGCUCUUUCCUUUGUAUUUCCCCCCUAUUUUUGCCCUAUCACUCGUGGUUACUCCCGAUCCGAAGCACCCCUUUUCCAUUCAUAGAGAGAUCCAAUCGUCAAAAUCAAUAAAAAGGCCAUCAUGGACCAAGAUCCAAACGGAUCAAUCUUGUUGAGAGGUACUGCCCAAGGAAAGGAAAAGGUUACUUCCGGAUCAGGGAUAAUAAAUAAAAUUGAAACAAGAUAAAAUCGUAUAUCAAAACGACUUCUGGCAUCACCGAAAGGAUCGAAACCACAUUCGUAGGCCGACAGUUUGUCUGGAUAGGUCGAACUAUUGGAAGCAAAUAGAAAAGGAACACCGAGUGGGAUCAAAGAAACUAGCGGACUGAUCACUAAAUAGAUACAAAUAGGUGCAAAUUCUGACAUCACCACAGCCCACUUGGUUCUAUCGCUCCUUGCUCGCGGAGCGGCAUACCGGAAAAAAGAAGGAUUCAAUCCAGCCCGUAGGUUAUCCCUACAGCUACCUUGUUGCGAACGAAAGCCAAGCCCCCUUAUGGGUCGCGGCGGACUAGGUCGAAGAAGAAGUGCUCGUUCAUGUCGUCACCCCAAUUAGAAGAAUUACGAUGGUACGGAACAAUGAAGUUACGUAAUCCUUUAUUAAGUAUUAAGGGCGUUGACAUUGGCGUCCGGCGACUGAUAAGAAGACUCCUGCUGAGCAAUUGUAGCAGCUCUGGCACCCAUUGACUGCCGCUGUUAGAACACCACAACAGUAACCACCUUUUUAACAGUAACCACCUUUUUGGGGUUAAUGCUUUCAAUGGUGAAUCGAGGAAAAGAUUUCCUUUUACGAGAGUGCCUGAAAGGCAGAAAAGUAAGAAAGCCUGCGAUGGCUACUGAAUAACCUCCUUUGAUUUUACGACAAAUAAGGCCUUUUACCUUUGUAUUCGUUCGCCAAAUCUUGUUCAGUUUCAUCCAAGCUCGGUUUUUUCUGAAUCUUCGUGGAAGAAGAAGAAGCGGUUCACCAGCCACUAGAUCUGUGGAUCCCACCAAUUUAUUAAACCUGGCGGCUGCUCGCUCUUUGAUCAGCGAUUCACCGGCCACUAGAUCGAUGAAGAAUCUCUCCAAAAUAUGCUUUUUGAUCAGUGAUUCACCGGCCACUAGAUCCAGGGAUCCCACCUUAUUCUCAAACCUGGUGGUUCGGUUGAUUGGCACUCCUGUAGGCUCAUCUUGCAUACAAAUUCUGGGGGUCCCAAGUCCUGCAUCCAUCAAGAAAAUGUCUUCCCUUAAGCGUAAAACUUCAGAUUGUAAGGCGUUUCCACUACAUAAGAAAAAACUUGAAUUAGAUCUUGGAAAUGAUCGACUCAAAUAGAUGGUCAUCAUAAGCUAUUUAUUUUCCUCCUCUUCCUAUUGAUCAGAAGCAUCCGGCAGCGCCAUAAUAUUCCGCUAGCUAUAAUUGCUAUAAUACUAAUUAUAAUAAUUGAAGACGGUUGACAAUAUAGGGACUCCAGCGGGGAUGGAACGAAACUACCGAAUUGACUUACAUACCAAUCGUGCUUUGGUACGCUCAGCCCCAUACGGGGGGCAUAAUCCAUAUACCACUCAUGGUAUUCUCUAUUAAGUAGAAAGUGCAGCUUUCCCGUGAGUAAAUCCGCAGAAGUCAUGUCCAAUUCCCGUUGGAGAGACUGGAUAUAUGCCGGCUGGAUUGUACCAUUAAAAAAUUCAUGCCGCUGCACAACCAAAAACUUAUUGAACUUCGAUAGCGCUGAUAUCGUAUGAGGAUCACUUAUUUCACCCGGGAUCCAAACAGACCCGGAAAUGAAAUUAGGUGCUCUAUAGACCGAAGAUAACAUAGAAUAAGGAACCGGCACCCCUUGCAGAACAAUAUUUGUAUGUGGAACCAUGAGUUAGCUUUUCAAAUCUCUAUAUAAAAUAUAAUGGGCCCUGGGAGCUAUCUGCCCCAACAAGCUGGGAGCUAUCUGCCCCAAGCUGCGAGCUAUAAUAGUCAUAGCUCCAUAAGUAUAAAAUAUAAUGGGCGAUGCGAGCUAUCUGCCCCAACAAGCUGGGAGCUAUCUGCCCCAAGCUGCGAGCUAUCUGCCCCUGCCCCAAAGAGUAGGUCGUUCUUGUAUAUGCUCACUAAUUCGUAUAUCCCCAAGGAACUCUUUCCUCUUUUUUCAAAAAGCCGCUCCACAGUGGUAAAGUUUCAUCUUGUGUGUUCGCCGAAGUGACAAUAGUCGCGUUGAACCCUCGAAUAUGUUCGAAGAUCUCGAAAUGCUCUCCCAGUUCCGGGGAUAAUUCGCAAAACUCCGUUUCCAUCGAGAAUUGAAUGGAGUUUUCCCGUAUUUCGACCGGAGAAUCUAACAGAGACAUUACUGUGGAGAUUCUGAACAAAAAAUGAGACAUUCCAUGCCCUCGGAGAGCGCUUUGUCGUGCUAGGUCUAGGUUACUGACAGACCCCUUAUUUGAGCCCAAGAAUGGAUUGGAUCGAAACGACUUUCCUGUCGAAGCCCUUAUUUUCUGUAUUAAUUUUUGACCGCACGGAAUCUCCAUAGCAAAUUUUCCAUUUUUUAUUAUGAAAUCUGAAGGUGCCGCCUUUGGUACUACUCUUAUUUUACACGAUCCAGGAACUUCCAUAACGUUGGCGUGAUUCGGUUUGAGCAGCAGAUCCUGACGUGAUACAUCUUCGUAAUUCAAAUGGAGUGGAAACAUGAGUUAGCUUUUCAAAUCUCUAUAUAAAAUAUAAUGGGCGCUGCAAGCUAUCUGCCCCCAAGAGUAGGUCGUUCUUGUAUAUGCCCACUAAUUCAUAUAUCCCCAAGGAACUCUCAAAAGAAGACAAAAGUUUCUCAGAACCUAGAGUCUUCUUUCACCCGAGAUCCAAGUCAGCACCGGCAAAGAUCUCUUGCUUCCUCGCGGCCGGGCCGGCUUGGAAGCAAGCUACCCGUUGCCUAUCUCACCCCUUUCCCCUUUUCAUAACAUAAUAAGGUAAGCUUCCAAAGCUCCUUCCUUCAGCUGGGUGAGCCUUCGCUUUUUUUUUUUGAUUGUCUUCUGCCCAAUGCGGUACCCCCGUUUUUUGGUUCCCAUUGGGUUUACCUUGUUCACAGGUCGACCCCAUGGCAGCAAGAAAAGGCGAUCUUGUGCUAUACUCCGGUGAUCUCUUUCCUACCGAGGCACGCAAACUCCCAUCGUGUCCCAGAUCACAUUCCGUGAAUCGAAAGGAGAAGCCUACUCAUCCAUCAGCUCCUCUCGUAGAUCGGUGCGGUUUUACGAAGCGUCUAAGCACAGUUCACUCGCGUUGAUCAAUCAAGAGGGUUGCCGCCACUCCUUAAGGUUACCUGUUGUAUCAUACACUUCUUGCAUUCUUUCCCACGCUUCAUACCCCCCUCUUUUAAGAUAAGGUAAAGGGCCAGGCAUGGUGGGGUAGGAGCAUCCAGUCGGCAAAUCUUUUUUUGGCUUGACCAAGAAGUCUUAUGUCCUACGAGUCGCACGGCGUUUUAACCGAAAGCCCUUCUUUUAAGCUCCUCCCAGAUACAUGGCUUACAUACCCGGCCCAACAUUCUUGGAAAACAAUCGAAUCGACGGUUCGGAGGAGAAUUGGCCAUUCAAUCUUGUGAACUAAUCGAGACCAAAAUUGGAGAAAGAGAUACAAACGGAGAGGAAUAACCAAUCGAUGAAAGAACAUGAAACCAUUCUGUUUCAAUAGAGGUACGAGAAAGGGUUGGGGGCAAUGAAGUAGGUGAAGUGGUUGGAUUUUGCAAGCUGUUCCAACCACUGCUGGAUGUGAUUCCAAGAGCCGAACGAGAAUGAAUACCACACAGAAGAGUCAAGACCAGGCUCCCUAAUGGAAUGUUUAACCGAUCCAUUCCGGAUCGACCGAAUUGGUACGGAAGUUGUAACAUGGGAAAACCACAGAAAACACGACUUAUUUGAAUAACCCAGUGACCUACCAAUUGUAGAAGUAGGAUUUUUGGCAAGCAAUAAGCACUUAAAUAAUACAAUUCAAGUGUACCAUCUUCUUUAUCAUUUCGAGGAAAAGGUGCGGAAGGAAAAGGAAACAGCGGAGGGAUCCGAAUCGGACCUAAAUGGGAAUGACAUGAAAAGUCUUUUUCAAAACCUAGCAUUAAGGGUGUUACGACGAUAUACGAGAGGAAUAGAGAAAAACUCGUGAUUGGUGUGGAGGGGAAGAUCUGUUUAUGAUAUAGUGAAAGAAAGAGUCGUCUCAUUUCCUUACUUCUUCGUUCUUUCUAAUUCAUUCACUUCAAGACUGGUUCUGAACGCCGCAUAACAUCAUCUUCAACCAACCUCCACCGUACGUACCUUUCGGUGCGACCACUAAAGAAUUGCUUAUACACUAAACAGCUCCUUAUAUAUGACGCUUACUAAAAGACCGAGUUUCAUUAGAAACCGACGAGCUCUUCUACUUGCAUCACUGCAAGCACUUCGACCGCAUACGCAAACGUAGAAGACAUUAGUCCGUUAGAGACCAAAUCGUGAUAGAACCUAAGAAGGUCCUCAUACCCAUGACCCGAAUUUACCAUUACAUCUAUAAGGGUGUCGGGCCCCUCGGGUAAGGGGACUCCUUUUUUUUCUAAAAGAACCUCCAGUUUCCGCGCUAUACCCUCUAUCAGGACGUCGUCCGCUACGUCCAUGAUAGAUUCAACAGCGGCCUCCUUAUGGAGGGUGGUAAGAUGCGGAAAGUGAAGCCGCGACAGCGUUUGAAAUGCCGUGGCCGCGGUUAGGCCUAAGCCAAAAAUUACAAACGCAGUUAUUUCCGGUGUAGUCAUAUUCCCUGGUUUUUCCACUUUUUGGCUUCUUGGCUGGAAUCAUAAAGAUAAAGGGGUUGUAUCCUUUCUGAUGAUCUUUUGCAUCACAAUCACAUCAAGGUGACAGGAUUCGAACCUAUGGCCCUCUGUACCCAAAACAGAUGCGCUGACCAGACUGCGCUACACCUCGUCUCACCACCCCGGAGCAUAUAGAUCCACCCGAUCGAUGAACACUCAAACCGAACUCGCCCAUCCUUUUGGGCACGGGGACGCGAGAACCAAUCUGAGUAAUCAACCGCUUUUUAUCUGCCUCCAGCAAGAUAGGGCGACGCCAAAAAAAAGCCUAUAGUGCAGGAGCGCUCACAUUUUUUGGCUUACUCUUUAACUUUCAUUUUCAAAUCCGGCUCGCUCCCGGCCUUUGGACCCUUCGCCCGCUUAGAAGUGGAUUCGAACCACUGACACAAGGAUUUUCAGUCCUUUGCUCUAACCAGCUGAGCUACCUGAACCACCUUCCUAAAGUAUGUUUUCUUCAAGGAUAUUUUCAGUCCUUUGCUCUAACCAGCUAAACUACCUUACCACUUGACUAAAGUAUGUUUUCUUCAUCGAAUAGCGCCCUACCUUACCACUUGACUAGUAAGGGAAAAACCCUAAACUAAAAAUAAAAGAAUUGAUAGGCUUUUUCGCUUGUUCGUCAAGCUUUCGAGCAGCUCUUUGCCGCCUAAUCCCCCAACCAUGCUCAAUAACCGAGAGCCGUCCAGGGACUGGACUCCACCAAGAGGUUCUUUCUCUCACGUAAUUUCGCCCGCCCGUUUCACUUCCGUGCCGGAGGAAAUGGGAUUCGAACCCAUGAUACAAUCUUCUUGUAUGUCGAUUUAGCAAACCAAUGCCUUAAGCCACUCAGCCAUACCUCCAAGUUGUUGAUCGGAAUGGAAUUUUAUGCGCCGGGUUUGGUUGGUUGCCCGAAGGGCUAUCUGAUCCGAUCAACUGCGUAAGCCGUAGCGCGCUAGCGCGCGUACUCUUCCUCUAUCUAUAGAGCGAGACUCCCCACCCAAAUCUGCCAUUCGUUGGGCGACGCCUUCUUUUCUAUGAACACCCCACCGCUGAAUGAUGAACUUUGCAAGUUUUCGCCUGCGACCCGACCAGGGGGGAACACACAAGCCCUUACCCGCCUGAAUGGAAUGAAUAUCUCCCUCGUCUGGUCGAGAAGGGAGAAGCCCGGGGAACUGGACUGUGACUCUUCUAUUAUAUUACGAAGAAGUCCAUUCUCGUCAUGAUCGAUCCACGUCCUACCGUAGUGCCCGGAGAACCAGGCUUGCUUGGCUUACAAAGCUAGCUUACUAACGCGAAGUUUUUUUUCGUUGAUUGCACGAGCUAGCCAACAACCCCCCCUUACUCACCUCCCGCUCUAGAAAAAGCCCUUUCUCCUUUUAACUAGGAGAGAAAGCUCCGCGAGCUGCCCCCUUACUCUAUAGAAAUGGAUGGAAAUGCCCGCCUUGAUCAAUGCGAAAUUGAUCGAGAUGGGAUCAUGAUUUGAUUGGAAAUGCGUAAGUAAGAGGAGAUGGGAGUAACCGGGCGUUAUAUAUACUAUGAUUCACCUUUUUCAUUUCUUUCAUUUUUUAGAAACUGGUGAUGUACUUCUAUAGCCUUUAGCCUUUCUAGUGAAGUUCACUCCUUUGGUAUUGGAAACCUCCUUAUCUUCUUUUAGCAGCAGAAAAUUCCUUCCUCUUUGCUGCUACAACGCGCGGUUGCUAUUAGCUUAUUUAUUUACUUGAGGCAUAGGCGCAUAGGCGGGAUAGGGCUUUGCUUUAGCAUAGGGCGAAAAAUAAGCUCUAUAAGCCGAAAUUGAGUACCCGUAAACCCUGGAGUUCCUUUUAUUUAUCAUAGGGUAGGGGGCGGCUUUGAAGCUAUAGAAACAAAAAGAAGGCUACUUACUUUGCGAUAGGAGCUUGCGCGUGGCCCCAAGCUAUAUAGGAAAUCAAAUAGCAUAGGCAUCGCAGCGGCUACUCUUUUGCGCUAGGAGUUCUGAAUUUAUCGUUUAGUUUUGCUUUCAUUUAGGAGUGAAAAGGAACUUAUGAGAUGAACGUAAUCUAUAUCUCUCCUUUCUUUGGUUAGGAACAAUUCACAAUAGCUUGCCUUAACAUCGAAUAACAUAGCGAGCGGCUACUAGCUUGCUGCGGCUCUUACUAUGAGCUUAGGUUCCAUAGCUUUAGGAGCCUUCAACAAAAAUAGAAUAGCUUUGCUUAGCGGCGACUACUUUCUUUCUAGUAGCUGCUUCGCUUUAGGAGCCAUUUAUUUGGUGUAGAACCACAUAGCUUGCUCCGAAACUAUUGCAUUGAUAAGCAGGGCUUACCGGUACAAUAAAGCAGUCCAUUUAUUAAUCCUUCGCAAAUGUUGCUCUAAAACUCUUUUAGCUUGAGCGAGUGCAAUUUAUAUCAUACUUGCUCGCGCAAGUCAUUUCUUGCGCUCGCUCUAGCAGCAAGGAGAGUUCUGCAAGGUAAUUGCGCGGGCCUUACUAGCUUUGCCUGCUUGGUUGUACAGCUACUAAAGCAAGGCUAUUUUGCUAUUCUACAGCUUGAAAAUGGCUCCUAAAGCUGACUACUAGCAAGAGCUAUGCUCAUUUUUUUUAGGGCUCCUAAAGUUAUUGAAUUGCUCCGCUCCUAAGCUACUAAGCUAUCUAGGAUCCGCAAUUCUUUGAUAUUAAAUACCUCCCUAAGCAAGAUAGUUGCUCCUCUCCUAAAGUACUAGCACGAGCUAAUAGCAAAAGCAAAGCUAGUAGCCAGCCGCUGCUAUCUCUUCCUAUAUAGCAUAGCUUCCAAAUAGCCCAAAGCUAUUGUCCUAUAGAGCUUCCACCCUCCCUACGCCAAAUCAAAGGAGCUACUAGAACAGCUAAGGUAGUAGCCUUUGAUUUAGCUCUAGCAGCUAGGAAUUGAGCUUUCAAGCUUUGGUUUCAUUUAGCUGUAGCUUCUUUUUUUAUUUAAAGCCUGUAUCAGCUUGGAGCACACUCGAUUGAACUCACACAGGGAGCAGUCUUACCCAACAACGGUGUUACAGGACGUCGACAUUGGCCAAUGAGGAGAUUAGGCGGCAAAGAGCUGCUCGAAAAGGGUCAUGGUUGGCCCAGUACAUCCUCUUGUGCCUCGCCCCUCUCUCUAAAGGUCUUGGUGCCGAAGAAGGCUCGUGGCGCAUGUGCGUGGAUUAGGAUUCUCGCGCCCUUAACAAGAUCACAGUAAAGAAUCGCUAUCCUUUGCCAAGGAUAGAUGUCUGAUUCCCAUUUGACUAGUUAAGGGAGCCCGUUACUUCACCAAGAUAGACUUAAAGUCGGGAUACCACCAAGUGCAAGUGGUGGAAGGCGUUGGAAGACCGCGUUAAAGACAAGGCAAGAGUUAUAUGAAUGGGUCGUCAUGCCAUUCGGCCCUAUUACGGUAAGGCCAACGCACCUGCAACCUUUAUGCGGCUGAUGAACGAUGUUCUUAGGCCUUAUUUAGAUUGGAUGAAUUCGUCACGGUCUACGACGACGACAUCUGGUUUAUAGCAAGACCUGGGAGGAGCAUCUGAAACACGUAGAGGCUGUUCUAGAAGCUCUGCGUGAGCACUAGCUGAAAGCCCAUACGGAGAAGAGCUUACUUAUGAGCAAAAAGGGAGGAGGGAGCUGGUAUACUUGGGGCACAUCAUCGGCUCAUCCGGAGUCAAGAUAGGUCCUGAGAAGACGAAGUCUGUCCGGGAAUGGUCAACCCCCAAGUCGCUGGCGGAGGUAAGGAGUUUCCUCGUGCCCACAAUUUCUCGCAAAAGUGGCUCAGAAGGAACGCUAGCUAUAUGCUUAACCACACAGGUAGCGUGUCCGCGCUUACGGCUUCCAAUCGUUAGCUUUCUUUCUUCAGCAAAGAAAGAGCAGGAAUAGCUCGGUCAUAGGUACCAUACGAAGAAAGGUCUUCCGUUCAUUGAAGAAAAGAGAAAACGAAUAAAAAAGCAACAACAAGCUCUAACUCGGGAAUAAAAUAACAACUGGAAUGCUUCAUCUCGUAAGCAGACUUUGAUUGAUCGAAUGCUUUUUCUCUACUACUUCAUUACUUUUAUAUCUAGGUCUACCAUUAGGCACCCUUCAUUCUAAAUAAGUAGUUUACAGGGAGGAGUUCGAUCCAUUAGGUUCUUCGAUUUGUUCAGAAAAGAAAGGAGAGACAAGAAAACAUCUUUGAUUACGAUUAAAAGAGAACCAAAACACUUUUUUUUUACUAUCGCAGUCUCGACCAAAAUUGUUUCGGCACCGGAUUUUCAGGACAACCCGGAAGACCUUUUUUAAGUCCGUUAUAGCAAAAACCAAUGAAUUUGCGGCGAUAUCUCAUUUCUUGGAAGCUACUAUAAAAGGGGAGCGGGAAAGCUGCAGUAAUUCUUUGUAAAAGCCCUCUCUCUUCUCUUUGUCUUCGAGCUUCCUUUAAUCUAUUGUUUCCGUUUCUUCAUAUACCUCCCCACCAAUAGAUAGAGACAAAUGGGAAUAGCCGAACCACGUCUACAAAAUGCCAGUACCAUGCAGCUGCUUCAAAGCCAACGUGAUGCUCCUUGGUCAGAUGACCAAGAUAUUGGCGAAUACCACAUACGAUCAAGAAAAGAGUACCUAUAAUCACAUGAAACCCAUGAAAGCCCGUUGCUAAGAAAAAGGUAGAACCAUAAAUACUAUCCGAAAUAGUGGAGGGUGCUUGAUAAUAUUCCAUUCCUUGAAAGCCCGUGAAUACUAGAGCCAGUGAAACGGUAGCUACUAAAGCGUAAACAGCUCGCUUUUCCUUCCCCGCGAGUAUAGCAUGAUGAGCCCAAGUUACGGCAGCUCCGGAUGAAGGGAGAAUAAGGGUAUUAAGAAAAGGGAUUUCCCGAGGAUCUAAAACCCCAAUCCCCUUUGGGGGCCAAAUACCUCCGAUCUCUACCGUAGGUGCCAAAGAGGAAUGAGAAGAAGCCCAAAAAAGAGCAAAAAGGAACAUAACCUCCGAUACGAUAAACAGAAUAAAACCAUAUCGAGGUCCUAAUUGUACGACUUUGGUAUGAUGUCCUUCCAACGUGGAUUCACGUAGAACAUCGCGCCACCAUACGAACAUAGUAUAUAGGAGAAAUAUGAGGCCCAAACUGAGAAGUGUUGCACCCCCUUGAAAUGGGUGCAUGUACAUCACACCUCCUACGGUGGUUGCCAAAGCUCCGAGGGAACCCGAAAUAGGCCAUGGACUUGGAUCUACCAAAUGAUAAGAAUGCCUCUGAGAUUCAAUCAUAAACUACUUUGCCUCGGUUGGUAUGUAAACCCCCCUUCACCCCCACCCCCUAAAGUGGUAAAGAAGGGCUCUUUGGGGUAUAAUUUUCUUUCUAUCUGACCAGGGCAAACAAAUAGGAAGGGAUGGUUCUUUCAUUGCAUUGAUAGAAGUCUAACUAUAAAAGGAUCUAUCUAUUACUUUGUGAGAAGAGAGUCGUUGGUUUGACCGACAGACGACUACGCGGGAAAGCAGAGAUCUUGGCAAGCCAAGCAUGGGAGACGGAGCUGGGCGAUAAUAGCUGCUCCGCAUCCCAAAGCGCGCUGCCCUCCUAGGCGCGCAACACUAAGUAAUCCAAGCCAACCCACAUUACUGACUAACGGUGGAUAAUCAUAUUUCCUUUUCGUGCCAUAUUAUUAUACUUUACUUUCUUUUUCCAUUUUUUAUUCCCGGUCCAGUAUUUGUUCUCGAAGGCCGUAGUACUAUGGUAACCAAGAUCCAUAAUAUGAAAACCCAAAUGAGAAUGAGAGUCCGAAGGAGAAUCAUAGAUAAGGCAAAGCGUUUUUACCCGUUAUCCCCUAAGAUCUCAAUCAUAUAGUUAGAGUAGGGGCCGCGUUCUCUGAUAUCUCGCUCAACCCUAGCUAGGAAUUUAAUUUCCCCCCUGUCCCUUUGUUCCAGGCUCCACUCUCGGUGGGUUUUGUCCCCACUAACUAAUUACGACCACUGAACAAACUUGGUUGACGAACAUGGUUUAUGCGCCGCUAAUGUAGCGGCUUGUCGAGCAUUUGACAAACUCACACCAUCCAUUUCAAAUAGGAUUUGUCCCGUGGACACACGAGCAAUCCAACCCGUAGGAUUUCCUUUUCCUCUUCGAAGGUGAAUCCAGACAAUGUGUACUCAUCAGUGGACUUUCGGAUUUCUAGCACAGGGAUACUUGGCUUCUUGGGGAGGAAGCAUGGUUGUCGCCCCCCUUGAAUGGUAACGAUCGCCUUCCCUAAUGGGAAGUAGACCUUCUGGUGGAGAGAUGAGGGAACGGCACCCAAGCUAUGAAUCCGGGGUCUUCCUAGGAUAAGAUUGUUGCUAGCAGGCACAUCUAAGACUUUUCAUUCGAAUGUUGCAGUGGCCCAACUACUAUUGGCAGUGUGACGGUACCCCUCACUUCACCUCUUGAACUGUCAUAUACUCGGAUAGUCUGGCUCGAUAGCGUGAAAUCAGUGGGUCCCAGACCCAAACAGUUAUCGGUUUUCAUAGGACAACAA
rnacentral:lncRNA from 1 species